rnacentral:rRNA from 1 species
GGUGAACGCUGGCGGCGUGCCUAACACAUGCAAGUCGAGCGGUGCAGUUUGAAGCUUCGGUGGAAAGCUGCAUAGCGGCGGACGGGUGAGGAAAACGUAGGAACGUGCCCCUUGGAGUUGGAUAGCCACGGGGAAACUGUGGGUAAACCGACAUAGACUCGAGAGAGUAAAGGCCGAAAGGCGCCAAGGGAGCGGCCUGCGGCCCAUCAGGUAGUUGGUAGUGUAAAGGACUACCAAGCCGACGACGGGUAGCCGGUCUGAGAGGGUGGCCGGCCACAAGGGCACUGAGAGACGGGCCCUACUCCUACGGGAGGCAGCAGUGGGGAUUUGGACAAUGGGCGAAAGCCUGACCCAGCCAUGCCGCGUGAAGGAAGACGGCCUUAUGGGUUGUAAACGUUCUUACUACGCGAAUAGAGUUAGUACGAGAUACUAAUAGGAAGGUAGUGUAGUAAAAAGCACCGGCUAACUCCGUG